rnacentral:rRNA from 1 species
AGAUGGCGACCGGCGCACGGGUGAGUAACACGUAUCCAACCUGCCGAUAACUCGGGGAUAGCCUUUCGAAAGAAAGAUUAAUACCCGAGGGCAUAAUUAGACCGCAUGGUCUUAUUAUUAAAGAAUUUCGGUUAUCGAUGGGGAUGCGUUCCAUUAGGCAGUUGGUGAGGUAACGGCUCACCAAACCUUCGAUGGAUAGGGGUUCUGAGAGGAAGGUCCCCCACAUUGGAACUGAGACACGGUCCAA